GACGAACGCUGGCGGCGUGCUUAACACAUGCAAGUCGAACGGAAAGGCCCUGCUUGCAGGGUACUCGAGUGGCGAACGGGUGAGUAACACGUGGGUGAUCUGCCCUGCACUUCGGGAUAAGCUUGGGAAACUGGGUCUAAUACCGGAUAGGAACCAUCUUUAGUGUGGUGGUUGGAAAGUUUUUUCGGUGUAGGAUGAGCUCGCGGCCUAUCAGCUUGUUGGUGGGGUAAUGGCCUACCAAGGCGGCGACGGGUAGCCGGCCUGAGAGGGUGUACGGCCACAUUGGGACUGAGAUACGGCCCAGACUCCUACGGGAGGCAGCAGUGGGGAAUAUUGCACAAUGGGCGCAAGCCUGAUGCAGCGACGCCGCGUGGGGGAUGAAGGCCUUCGGGUUGUAAACUCCGUUCGCUAGGGACGAAGCUUUUUGUGACGGUACCUAGAUAAGAAGCACCGGCUAACUACGUG
rnacentral:rRNA from 1 species